ensembl:snRNA
ACCAUCCUUUUCUUGGGGUUGCGUUACUGUCCAAUGAACGCAUAGUGAGGGCAGUACUGCUAACGCCUAAACAACACACCCGCACCGGUUAGAGCUCUGCUUUAUCUUGGUGCAAUUUUUGGAAAA